rnacentral:rRNA from 1 species
UAACCUGCCCAAGAGAUCGGGAUAACACCUGGAAACAGAUGCUAAUACCGGAUAACAACAGAUGAUGCCUAUCAACUGUUUAAAAGAUGGUUCUGCUAUCACUCUUGGAUGGACCUGCGGUGCAUUAGCUAGUUGGUAGGGUAACGGCCUACCAAGGCGAUGAUGCAUAGCCGAGUUGAGAGACUGAUCGGCCACAUUGGGACUGAGACACGGCCCAAACUCCUAUGGGAGGCAGCAGGG